UACGUAGGGCGCAAGCGUUAUCCGGAAUUAUUGGGCGUAAAGAGCUCGUAGGCGGUUUGUCGCGUCUGCCGUGAAAGUCCGGGGCUCAACUCCGGAUCUGCGGUGGGUACGGGCAGACUAGAGUGAUGUAGGGGAGACUGGAAUUCCUGGUGUAGCGGUGAAAUGCGCAGAUAUCAGGAGGAACACCGGUGGCGAAGGCGGGUCUCUGGGCCGAUACUGACGCUGAGAAGCGAAAGCGUGGGGAGCGAACAGG
rnacentral:rRNA from 1 species